rnacentral:misc_RNA from 1 species
UCGAGUCACGCACUCAAACAAUCCUUUUGUGGAUCUGAAUUAAAACCGUUGCCUCGGCGGGCGGUCUUUUUUUCUUGCUAAAUUCACGUGACGUGGGUGGGGGGGAUUAGACAGUUCGGCACGCUUUAAGGCGUUCGGCGCUAGUCGUUGGUUUUAAACAAUUAAACUCUAGUAAUCUUAUCUUCUGAGUUUUAAUGCAAAAAAAUAAGUCA